rfam:Schistosoma mattheei strain Denwood, Zambia genome assembly, scaffold: SMTD_scaffold0004942
AUCCAUCUGAUGAGCUUCGAAUAGGACGAAACACGCGUCCUGGAU